rnacentral:rRNA from 1 species
CCUACGGGAGGCAGCAGUGGGGAAUAUUGGGCAAUGGGCGCAAGCCUGACCCAGCAACGCCGCGUGAAGGAAGAAGGCUUUCGGGUUGUAAACUUCUUUUCUCAGGGACGAAGAAAGUGACGGUACCUGAGGAAUAAGCCACGGCUAACUACGUGCCAGCAGCCGCGGUACUACGUAGGUGGCAAGCGUUAUCCGGAUUUAUUGGGUGUAAAGGUCGUGUAGGCGGGAGCGCAAGUCAGAUGUGAAAACUCAGGGCUCAACCCUGGGCCUGCAUUUGAAACUGUGUUUCUUGAGUGCUGGAGAGGAAAUCGGAAUUCCGGGUGUAGCGGUGAAAUGCGUAGAUAUACGGAGGAAUACCAGUGGCGAAGGCGGAUUGCUGGACAGUAACUGACGCUGAGGCGCGAAAGCGUGGGGAGCAAACAGGAUUAGAUACCCUAGUAGUC